rnacentral:rRNA from 1 species
GAUGAACGCUGGCGGCGUGCCUAAUACAUGCAAGUAGAACGCUGAAGGGAGGAGCUUGCUCUUUCCGGAUGAGUUGCGAACGGGUGAGUAACGCGUAGGUAACCUGCCUGGUAGCGGGGGAUAACUAUUGGAAACGAUAGCUAAUACCGCAUAACAGUAGAUGUUGCAUGAUAUCUACUUAAAAGGUGCAAUUGCACCACUACCAGAUGGACCUGCGUUGUAUUAGCUAGUUGGUGAGGUAACGGCUCACCAAGGCGACGAUACAUAGCCGACCUGAGAGGGUGAUCGGCCACACUGGGACUGAGACACGGCCCAGACUCCUACGGGAGGCAGCAGUAGGGAAUCUUCGGCAAUGGACGGAAGUCAGACCGAGCAACGCCGCGUGAGUGAAGAAGGUUGUCGGAUCGUAAAGCUCUGUUGUAAGAGAAGAACGAGUGUGAGAGUGGAAAGUUCACACUGUGACGGUAUCUUACCAGAAAGGGACGGCUAACUACGUG